AUUGAACGCUGGCGGCAUGCCUUACACAUGCAAGUCGAACGGCAGCACGGGAGCUUGCUCCUGGUGGCGAGUGGCGAACGGGUGAGUAAUACAUCGGAACGUACCCUGAAGUGGGGGAUAACGUAGCGAAAGUUACGCUAAUACCGCAUAUUCUGUGAGCAGGAAAGAGGGGGAUCGCAAGACCUCUUGCUUUAGGAGCGGCCGAUGUCGGAUUAGCUAGUUGGUGAGGUAAAGGCUCACCAAGGCGACGAUCCGUAGCGGGUCUGAGAGGAUGAUCCGCCACACUGGGACUGAGACACGGCCCAGACUCCUACGGGAGGCAGCAGUGGGGAAUUUUGGACAAUGGGCGCAAGCCUGAUCCAGCCAUGCCGCGUGAGUGAAGAAGGCCUCGGUUGUUAAAGCUCUUUCGGUUGGGGUAAGGAAAGUUAGGCACAGGAUAAUACCUUAGUGUAGAUGACGGUACCCGCAUAAGAAGACACCGGCUAACUACGUGCCAGCAGCC
rnacentral:rRNA from 1 species